GCUUCUUGGCUCUCUUACCUCAUAAACAUACUUCAGGUCGCCGCUGCAGAUUUGGUUAUUCUGUAUUCAUUUGUUCAUGAAGAUGUAUCUUGCUAUUUUGGUAUGCUGCAUUUUCUUAUGGGCGUGUCCUAAAGGUGUGGCUUGGAGUGCCUUAGUUCCUACUACAAACCACUUCAGUUUUGAUUGUAUUUUCAACAAGAGUCAUGUUUUUUUCUGCUGCUAAACCAUAUUGUUUGCUGCUGUGAAGAAUCUGUAAGCUGCAUUGUUUUGUAUAUAUGCUGUUGUGUUUCUGCUGCUACUGUGUCUGCUAUUGCUGCUAUGUUUCUGUUGCUGUGUCUGCCAUAUCAUAGAGCAUCAUAGAGCAGUGUAAUUGCUGCUGCUGUUUUGUUGUUGCUGCUGCUGUUUUCCUACGGUUGUUGCUGUUGCUGUUUUGCUGCUAAUUUUCUGUUAUGGCAACUGUUUUUCAUGUCAAGAUGGUGUAUCUUGCUGCUUUUUCCUAUGGUGUAUAAGUCUACUGCUUUUUCCUAGGAUUUUUGUUGGCAUGCUUUGCAGUUAUUGUUCCAAGACGAGUGGACUUACCCUAUGUAUUACAUGUACGAUUGUAUGAUAUUCGGAAACAAGCUUGGUGUUGUUAAGAUGGUGAACAAAGAUUGGGUGCAUUUGAAUAGGUAAUAGAAAAACUUUUUUAGACAACUAUAGAUAAACUAGUUACAUAUUCUUAAAAUAUUUAACACACUUAGCUUGUACAUUUGUAGAUGCACUGACGAGUAUAUGAACGCAGCAUUGAACUUUGUGGAGAUGGCUAAUCAAAACACAGGAUAUUUAGGAAAGAUUCUAUGCCCUUGCAAACAUUGUCGGAAUAUGAGUCACCAUUGUGUUGAUGAUAUUUAUGAACACUUGGUCAUAAAUAGAAUGGAUCCUACAUACACAACUUGGUUUCAUCAUGGUUUGUUUUUUUUUCUGUUAACUUGUUUCUUUUAUUAUUCAGUAACAUGUAUAUCUAGCCGAGGCACUUGUCCAAAAUGUUGACAGGCUAUGAAAGGUUAAGGUGAGGGAUCGGUCAAGUUGUCUUCUUUCUUGGGACCUCUAGUUCGAGAGAUUGUACCAUAUACACUUUCGGAUUGGCGAAAGCUUCCUUCGGGAAUGGCAGAAAUCCUAUGGCAAUCCAUUUUGGUAAGAUUCAAUCUUCAUGAAGAAUGGCAUAGACAAAUGGUUUUCCAGAGAAUGAAUGAAGAUUAGAGAGCCUCAAAGUCGAUAUUAGUAAAAAAAAACAGAAAUGCUUCAAAUGAGGAAGAAAGGCUAAAGCUAUAGCCUGAUAAUGUCAAAUCGCUGCAUGAUUGGAAGGAUUUUGUGAAGGAAAAGACUAGUAAAGAAUUCAAGGUGAAAUGCAAGAACUUUAAGGCUAUGAGAGAGAAACAGUUGAAGCUGCAACAUACUAUGAGUUGUAAGGGAUAUGCACGGUUGACUACUGAGCUGGUAAUACCUCUUUUGUUCAUUAUCAAAGAUCAUUGGACUUCAUAUUAUAAACUAUAACUUCAAUUGAAUUCUAAUCAAAUAUUUGUUUUUACUCUAGAAAGCGAAAAGAAAUGUGGCCUCCAUAAGUAGAGCCGUUGUUUGGGCCGAUGGACAUAGAGACAAGAAUGGAAAACCCAAGAACAAAAAUGUUGCACAAAAGAUUGUAAAGGCCAUGGCUCAUUCUUUAUUUGUGUGUUUUAUUUGUUAUAUAUGUUUAACAGUCUCAAUGUCUCAUUAGUCAUUUGCAUUGUUUUUUUACUAUGCCAUUUUUAAGAAGAUAUGGGAAAAAUUGAACGGAAUGAUAGAAUUCAACUAAUCUGAAAGAAGAUGCUGCUUCUAAAGUGCUUGGUGCCGAGAGGAAUAGCCGUGUAAGAACAUUUGGAAAAGGAGUCACACAAACAAGAUUAACUAUAUUAUCCAAAUGAAUGGUCAAUUUGCUGAAUUACGUGAAGAAAAUGCACAGAUGAAGUUUCAAAUGUCGGAUAUGCGAAAUACAGUUGAUGAGUUAAAGAAAAGCCAAGUUCAGAAUCCGGCAACAACUAAAACAACACCAAUUACACCCCUUGUUUCUCCCUCGGUAAAAUGUCAUCCACAGAGUGACAUUACCAAGUGCAAGUUGCUAGAUUGGAUGGGGACGUGAGACGUAGUUGCAGAGGGGCGUUGGGCUUCAAGUGAUCCACAUUCCAGUGCUCAUUGUGUUCCAAUUGGACCUAAUGCAAUGAAAGUUUGGGUGGAUGUAGCAAAGAAACCUGAAGAGUUUCUGUGGAGGACUCCAAGUGAUAUGACCUAUAUCGUAGAUGCUGUGGGAAGUACCAUCGCAUGGCCUGCUGACUUUCUUAUUCUGGACUCUUCUUCCUCAGGGUAUUGUACUUUUACUCUCCUCCAUAUCGAAGUAUUCUCUCGGAUGAUAAAUAUUGCUAUACCAGAAUUUGUGCAUACCUAGUUUUAGUGUUGUCCAUUUUUGGCUAGGAAACAUCAGUUAACUGUUUGGGAGGACAUUAGUAGGCAUAACAUUAUGAGAAUGCAGAAACUUGAAGAUAAGGUCAUUUUUAGGAGAAAACAGUUAAUAGCUUUAAAAGGAACAUCGAGUAUGAAGGUGUUUGAUCAAAGUAAUGCAUGCUUUUUAAAAAGAAGAAUAUGUUGUUUUUCUCUAUCUAUGUGGACAGCCCGUUACCAAUAUGGUAUUGAAUCAAAGGUUGGACUAAAUGUCUAACACUUAGAAUCUUCCUUGGAGUCCAAGAACUAGAAGACAAUGUUGCUGCAGACACUUUUAUGUUGUCAGAUUGUCUUUUCAUGAUUGUUUGAUCGUCUUAUCAAUAGGGAUAUAGGAAAGAAAAGCCUAGAUGAGUUUGCUGUUGUUGGUUCUUGGAUAUAGGAUAGCGCCAUGGGACUUUCAAGAAUGCUUAAACCCGAGGAUUACUUGCCUUUCAUUUUAGAGCAAAACAGGAUAGAUUCUACCAACUUCCGGCUUCUUUCUUGAGGGUAAUAGAAGCUAAGGACAUCUAAGAAUGUCUUUGAUUAUAGCUAUCUGACAGUCCUCCGAUCUCCAGCAAUUCCUUAGAUAGAUGUCGAGAACAGUCCAACACCUAAUGCGUUCUAGGCAUUUGAGAUAGUCCAAGCUAACUGCGUGGGAGAAGGUUCGUAGACGUGAGCCGAAGAUGUCUGCAAAUAGUGUGAUGGUUGUUAGAAUCAUGCUCCCGCGAAACCACCGCAGAAAAGUCCACUGUGACAGCCACCUUCCUAUGGCUUUCCAUCCAUGCUAUCAUCAAGCCAUGAUACAGGGACCAUAAUUCAACAGCUGGAACUAAGCAUAUUCCGAGGUUAAGGCAAAAGAAAUGCUGUUGAAGGUUGUGAGGGAUGAGUUGCUCCCACACUGGCCUUACUAUAUGACAGUCCCUUAGAAUGUGUAGACUCAGUUGGGAUGUCCCCAUAUGCCAAAUGCUUUGAUUUUGUUAUACCCACCACCACCUCUCUUAGUCCGAGCUAAGAAGUACGGAUACGGAUACGGGACACGGACACGUACGGAGAGUAUCCGAGCUCACCUUCAAAUAAUCUGAAAGAAGAUGCUCUUUCUAAUUGAAAUGUUUAGUAUAAAGAAAUCAGAUUAAAACCCCACGACUCCGUGACUUCUCCAUCUCACCCUUUUUCCACAGGUCUUCUCAAUCAGAAUAAAACUUAGAUUCAGCCCCAAUUCAAGAAAAAUGCCAUUGUCUUUCUUCUCUUGAAAUCUAUGCUGAUCAUGGUGAAGCGAUGAAUACUUGUUUUUCUCUUCCUUUCCAUUUUAUUUAGUACUCCGUAAAAUCUGAAGUUUUCUUUAUGGAAUAAAUAAUUAUGCAACAAUUGAUGCCAGUCACAAAAGUUGUGGCAGCAAUAGGUGGGUUGAAGUCUUUAAUUAGGGAUGAUAGAAAGAAGCCUAGUGCUGGGGCAACUAUUGUUAAAAAGGGCCGCGAGUUAGAAAUUACCACGGCGGGAUUGAAUAUUGCAUGAACAAAAGCUUUGAUUUAGCUUGAACAAGGUGCAAAGCAGUAGAAUGGAUACAAAAAAGUCAGAAAAAAAAUUUUGAUUUCAAUUCGUUAUGUGAUCUGGCUUCCCUUCAAGGUAUUAGGACUUAGACUUGACUUGACUUUUAAUUUCUUUUAAAUAAAAAUUACAGAUUAUUGUUGCAUUGGGUGCUACAUAUGUCAAACUACUGUGUUUGGAGCAAUUUUUGUUAAUGAACUGUGUCCAUUAUAAUACAUUUGAUCAAUUUCUUUUGUUGUGUUAUGACUUCAUCAAAUUGAAAUGUUUGCUUCUACCAU